CAGGUGAAGGCCAUGGCUACAGCACUUAUUUGUUCCUGUUACAGAGAAUUUAUACCUGGCUCUCUCUUCUACCUUUUUCUCAUCUUGGGUGCCUUACCAGGUAGCGACUCUACUGUGACAGUGACCCAGGAACCAUUAUUGACCAGCGUUUUGCAAAAGGAGAAGCUUAUAAUCAAAUGUUCUGUAAGUAGCCCAGGUUACAGUUUCCUCUGGUAUCGCCAGCUGCCUGGGAAGAUAGAGCUACAAGUGCUCGGGAACCUCUACAGUUAUGAAAACCAACUUGCUGAUGUUGACUCCACUCUUGACAACCGGCUGAGUGGGGAAUGGCUGAAUGGUGCCAAGGAAAAAAUGAACCUGUAUCUCCAAAGCCUUCAGCCUAGUGACACAGGCCUGUAUCUGUGUGCUGCAAAGGACACAGUGAGAGAGGCAGGAACUGGGGCUGGCACAAAACAGAGUGCAGAGAACAGACACCCUGUGCAGGGCAGUAGCCAGAAAAAGGGGGGGGGGGAAAUCAAGCAACUUCUGGUUCCUUUAGCAUUGGCGUAA